rnacentral:rRNA from 1 species
GCUUUUCAGAGGAAUUUGCUCUUUAAUGGAUAAAACACCAAAAUCUUACUUAAAUUUGUUACUUCAAUUUGUAUACCACUAUAAAAACAAUUUAUAACUUUAAUUGUUUAAAUUUAUUAAAUUAAAAUAUAUUAAGUCAAGGUGCAGUAAAAAUUUAAGAAUGAAGUGAAUUACAUUACUUUUUAGUGAAAAAAAAUUAUAAUAACACUUAGGAUUUGAAAGUAAAUUUGAAAUAGGAUGUCAAUUUGAAUCAAGCUCUAAAAUAUGUACACAUCGCC